ensembl:lncRNA
UAGUCUCAAUAUUGAGUGCUUUGAAAUGAAUAACUUUCCAAGUAUUUAUUAUAAGAAAUUGAAAGUCCAAGUUAAUUUUGAGUACUGUUAUUAAGCAAACAUGUGCAAAUAAUUUAAUUUUUAAAACCUAUGGAAGCUCACAUAAAGGUUAAGAUAAGUUUGAAAAUCAUUAACUUGCAUAAAAGGCAAAUGGCACUUUGGGAUUUAGUAUUAUAAGCAAGAUUUCAUUUUAAUUUAUCCUAUUUUCCUAAGAAUAGCAAUGUUAUUGAUUUAUUCUGAGAGAGUUCCCCCCACACACAGUGAUUUUUUUUUUUUACUGUGGUAGGUAAUAAAAAGGAUUACAGGCCCCCAGAAGGAUGAGAUAUCAUCAGUUUGUAAUCCAGCCCAUGGUUUCCUAGAUACCGUAUUGUCUAUUCUGUUCCGCUAUGUGAAAAAUGUUGAAUAUCAACAAUGGGUUUCAGUGCUGUAUUGUUGAGUUUUGUAUGAACUAAUCUAGCUUCACUAAGAAAAAAAAAGAAAGAAAAGAAAAGAAAGAGAGAAGAAAAAAAGGAAAAAAAAAAAAAGAACCACAGCUUUGCACAAAAGUCUAUAGCCAGUGCAUUUGAAACUCCCCUUGCACAAGGGCUGACUGUGGCCGGGGGAAGACAGUUUACUCAGUUGCUCUCUCCUUUCAUACAGUCAGCUGGUCCCUCUUCUCAGGUGUAGAUCACCUAUUACCACUUCACCUGUUUUGAUUCUCUGAUGAGGAAAGUCCCAGGACUUAUCAGCUGGGAUAGGCCUCAUUCACAAGACACCUCUGUAUUUGGAAGAAAGAAAGCCUGACAGGUUUCUCCGGAAAAGUGGCCAUCCAUGGAAUGAAUGAAAUGUUCCCUUUCUAUUCCAGCUCUGCCCUUUAUGCUGGGGAAUCUGUGUCUUCAUGUGAGCAGAAGGUGUCUCCCAAGCAAAGGAAAAGUCAGGCCCAUGGGCAUAGACAGUGCAUGGUUCUCCAGAACUGCCCCAUCCCUGGAACACCUACACAAAAAUAGACGUGGUCCUGCCAAAAGAUGCUCUUGAAACGUUCAAGAAGGGCCUCACCUUCUUAUUGGACAAUUCCCUAAUGUCCCAUUUUCUUGUUUGGAAGUAAGUGACUUGAAGGGUAAGUCCUGUAUAUACCACUUGAAAAUAAAUAUUGUAGGUGACUGGUCUUUGGUCAAAGAGAUUUGGAAAGAAGGAAAGGUUGCAAAAUUUAAAAGAAAAAAAAAAAGAGGCUUAUAACUGAGAGAAAGAAGGAAGAUCUUAUUCCAACUAGGUUUCUUAGCUGCAUUUGCUGUCAUUCAUGUGUCACAGGUGAUUCUGGAAAUCAGUUCUGAGCUGAAUCCUCUGGGAUAUUGCAAGCUCACUUUCCUAUUUCCUCCUGCUCCUGCCAACAUUUCCUUCAAUGGGAACAAUGUGAGAUAAGGUCAUUGUCAGAAUACUAUGAAGAAAAGACCUAGAAUAGAAUUUGGGAUUUUCAAGUUAAAAUUAAGAGCUGUGCUAUUCUAUUUUCUUCUUCUAGUGAGCUGGGAGUCGAUUUUCUAAUUCAUCCUCCUCUCCGUCAUUUGCCUAUUGAUAACAUGCUAGGCCAUGGAGCACUUGUGCUUUUUAUUCCUUUUAAUUAACUUUUUAAAAUUAAUUAUGAUGACUUGUAGGGAUUUCUAUUCUUUCUUCUCAUCAAAUUUGUUUGGCUUAUUUUUUAUUUACAUCACACUACCCACUGCUGUGAAUUAACAAUAACAAAAAUCCGCACUCUUCCCUUCCACCUCUUGAACUGGAGAAACAGUUAGCUAAUAAGAGGCUAAAUGAGCCUUAGAGUAUAGAGAAGCUGGAAUCCUUAAAUUAUUUAAAUUGAAAAAUGGCUAGUUUUACAAUCAGAAAAACUCAAGUGGACCGUAAGCCCUACUUGAUUGUCCCCCUUAUCUGGAUGAUCUUGUAAUGACAGCUGGAGUUAUCUGCCAUUGGCAUCACUGUCCACAAAAGCUUCUACUCUCUCUGCUCAACUCUUCAGCGGCCCUGGGGAGCUGGAGCUGUUUCAGGGGAGAGGGCCCUAGAGAAUUGGAAACUUUAUUAAAAUGCAAAGCUGUCUCUAGUGACAGAAAAGCUCAGUAAAAAGUGUUGGAUCUAAGACCACAGAGCCAGAAAUGAUCUGCAGAAUGAAAACCGGAGAUUCCAUAUGCUAUCUCCAAAAGGCUAGUGCUGUCAGUGUAAAAUAAAAAGCAAUGUGAAAUAAACAGCAGUGUAAAAUAAAGAGCAGGCAAUAGAAGGAAAGGAAAAUAUAAUGUUUCAACAUGAGUGGUGCAACAAAUGCCAUGUGUCAGACCACCCCUUGCAGAAUUCUGUCUCAGGAAGCAGCCCUGUGGAAUGUACUGUGGGAAGUCAGGAUAGCUGUCUGCCUUGAAAGGUUAGAGGAGAACCCCUGAAACAUUCCUAAUGUUCUCUUGGUAAGCAACUCAUUCUUGGCUCUCAUCCAUGAAUUUUCUGAAACUCUUUGUUACUAAUAGUAUUAGUGGGAAUAAUAAAUAGGAAUCCAUCACACCUUGACUUGAAGCUGAAAGUGGCCCUUCACUUCACUUGCCUUUGACCAUGAGAAACCUAAUCCUCAAAAUAUAUUUUAGGGGCCAGCCUGGUUGCACAGAAGUUAAGUUAGCAAGUUCCGCUUUGGCAGCCCAGGGUUCGAUGGUUUGGAACCCGAGUGUGGACCCACACACCGCUUAUCAAGCCAUGCUGUGGCAGGCGUCCCACAUAUAAAAUAGAGGAAGAUGUACACGGAUGUUAGCUCAGGGCCAAUCUUCCUCAGCAAAAAGAGGAGGUUUGGUGGCAGAUGUUAGCUCAGGGCUAAUCUUCCUCCAAAAAAGAAAAAGAAAGAAAAAAAAUAUUUUAAGGGUGUUUUCCCAGUUUGAUCCCAUUGUACUAUAAAUUAACAAAAUAAGAUCUUAAAUUUGACACUUUGUCCAUUUAACUCAAAAGACUCCAUAUAUAUUACUCACUAAUAAGUUGAAGUGUUGAAAUGAAAAUCGAGGCACUAAAGUAUAGAACAAUCAAGUAAUUUGUUAUAAAUAAGGAAAAUUAGUAGCACAUUUAAAAUCAAGGUUCAAGAGAUUUCAAUUUGAGUAUACUUAAGCUCUUCAUAAAUCCUUCUUCCUUUUAUUUUGCAUUCGAAAGUUCCUACUAGAAAAAAAUUACUCUAAGCACAAAAACUCAUAAAUAAUAUUCAAAAUAUCUCAGUACUCUUAAAAAGCAAAGCAGUAUGUUCCUUUCCACACUUCACUGCUUUGAAAAAUUUCUCGGAAGAGAUUUAUUAACAUUAUCAUUCCCAUCUUAACAACCACCAACAACCAUUUAUUGAGUAUUUACCAUGUUUCUUUCCAGCCCUUCUCCCUUUUUCUAGUCUCAUUUUCCCUUCUGCUCUGGAACUUUGAAAAGGAGAAAAAAAUAAGAAAGUUAGUCUAAAUUACACAAAUGGUCAUUUCUCUUUUUGUGCAACCAGCAAGUUCAGUUAGCAAAUAAAAAAACUAAAUGAAGUACCCUAUUCCUUCAUUUUCAGCAAAAGACAUUAAAAUUACUGGUCAGAUCACAAUUACCCCAAAUAUCAAGAGAACCCCCAUAAAUGUAAUACUUUCACCCUUAUUAUUCCUAAAAAUAUUGUAUUUAUGCUUGACAUGUUUAUAAACUGAUUUUUUGUGACGAGAAAAGAUUGAUAGAACUGCUUAAGACCUUUUUCCCAUUUUUAGUUCAGAGAUGGCUUAGGUGUGACCUUGUAAACAAGCUUCCUUCUCCAAUGCAAGAAAACAAGGUCCUCUCUGUCCCCAAAAAAGACACUGGGCACCGGAACACAGAGAGGCCCCUUUGUCCAGCUCUCCCCUCCACCCACCAUUAGUAUGCACUGCUGCAAACUGCAGGCUGACUGAGGAACUUUUUUGACUUGGGAGGUUGGUUUUUGCAAAACCCCAACCUUUGUUCCACAGGGACACAUGUCAGAUGACAGUCCCCCAUUGUAAUAGUAACUCUACCAUGUUCUCCCAUUGAAGACAGUAUAUUGGUAGUGCAAGUGAGUGAAAACAAUCCUAUUUGUUACAAAGAUAACCUUGAGUUUGCUAGUAUUAAUUCUUAAAUAUGUUGUCUGAAAACCCCAGAACUUUAUUAUUAUUUCAUAUUUCUUGUAACUCAAUCACAGCUAAUCAUGACACAUCAGUCUCAUGACACUGGGGUUGAAAAAUGCCCAUUUGAUGAAAUUGGCAGCCAAACUGGCAGAGCUAAUAAAUGACAAGGUAUCCUUCAAUCCCUGGAGCUAACCCAAGACCCGAAAGGACACUGAACCAAUACCAGCUCUGAGGAAUCUUUCAGCAAAUGAUAGGACCACGUCAUACUGCUCGGCUCCUUCCAGCCUGGUGCCCCUCACACCAGCUUGUUCAACAGCCUCAAAUUUAUGAGCCAGGGCAGGACAAAGUAUGUUUACAUUAAACUAGGAUUUAAAUAAGCUUAAUAUACCAAAAUAUUGUUCACAGCGUGAAAUUAAUUUAUGUAUCAUGACUAAAUUUCUGUCUUAUUAAUUGUAUUAUUUACAUAUGUUAACUUGGAAUUUACAUUGAAAACAAAAUUAUUUUUAAAAUUUUCAGCAUCCAAAAUGCAAUGAUCCUCUGGAGAGCUUUUAAAAAGCCAAGUACAGAGACCAUAUCCAAGACAAGUUAAAUCUGAAUCUCUGAGGAUGGGACCCAGGCAUCAGUAUUUUUUAAAGCCCCACAGGUGGUUCCAAUGUGUAGCUGAGGUUGAGAACCACUGGUCUAAGGAAGGGAAAAGGGCAGGAGAGAGAGAGUAGCAUAGGAAGAUAUUAAGAAAUUCUGGUCAUAUAAUUAUAACUGGUGUUAUUUAGAUCUGUCAACCUGAUAUUCUGAGAGUUGCCAAUGACUCUGGAGAUGGGCAUAAGACAUUGCCUACCUCUCUCUGUGCAUCUAUCCUUGGAGCCUUAUAACUCUGUGAGCCAAGGGCAAAGAGGAAGUGGUGACUUCUCUACAACUGAAGAAUUCUCUCAAAACUAAUUCAGUAAAACUUUCCUCUACUUCUUUCUCUUCAGAGGCAGGUAGAAGUAGAGAAUUCUAGGCUUACUACCAGCUUCCCCAGAAUAGAUAGAUUCAGCCCACAGUUAAAAAAAUAAUACGGAAUAUCUCUCGUGAGCAAGGUUUUAACUUAAGCCUCAUGACAACCUGGGAGGCAGGUAUUAGAUGUGCCUCCAUUUUACAGAUGAAGAUACUGAGAAACAGCAACAUAAGAAAGCCGCCCGAGGUCAUACAGCUAAUGUGUGCCUAAGUCUAGACUUUUUACUCUAAGACAGAUGGAAAACUGACCAAGGGUCACCCAGCUAUUCAUGGACAGCUGUCUGUGUUAAAAGAAUCUUCCAUUCUUUAGGUGGAGAAUCAAAUUAGUAUGCUAAUUGUGUUCUUUGCUAGUAUGUGUAAGCAAGCAUUAUACUCACAGACAUAGAAAAGAAUCUUAGUAUUCAGACACCAGUAUGGUAUUUGUCCUCUUUUGAAACAUCAUCACUAGUUCUCAUGGCCAAUUCAAGUCUAUUGGAGUUUCUUUGAUUAAAAAAAAAAUUUUAAUGUUUGGAAUAGCUAAGAGAACCCAGCAUAUGCGUCUAAGCUCAAACUUACAUGGAACCUUUGAAAACAGGGUAUGACUCCUUCUUAUAAUAGUUCUGAAAAUGGAAAUCCUCUUGAAUUCGUGGUGGUAGAAAAGAAAAAGGAAAAAUACAUUGUGUAUGUUCUCCCUCUGAAGUCCUAGAGUGUGACAGUGUAAUUGGGAUUUGGCAUCAACCCCAAACAGCUGGAGCCAUCUGUUUUGUAUUUUGUAAACUUUUUUCUCAACCAGAAAUUGCUAGCUACCUAAAGAAACAACCUAAGGUAAGACCAGCCCUCAACCAAUCUGAAGAAAGCCGUUUAUCUUUGAUUUACUCAUCAAGCAUUGCCUUGUGUCUACCUUGUGCGAGGCGCUCUUGCUUUAGCUAUUUCAUUUGUACCCCUUCCGCAACUUACUGGCACUCCUCUCCCUCUUCCUCUCGUGCUUAUUCCCAGCGGCCUCAUUCCCUAUCCCUUUACCCUCUGGGCCAAAACGUGCCCUCAGAUCUUUCAUUCAUAUGAAGGUAAAAGUGGUUGAUAACAGCUGAAAAGAGUUAUGAUUUCCAGGGUGAUAUGCGUUUUAACAGGGAUCAAAUCCUUGAAGCUAAAAGGGCAGUGCUCUUGUGCUAUCAUUACAGGCAGUGGUUCCCUGGAGACUGGUGAAGCCUGCUCCAAUCUUGCCACUCACACAGCAGCCUACUGCUCUGUUGAGCUCAGGGCCAUGCCUUUUCAUGUUUUUCUCCCAAGUGCUUGGCACAGUGACUAGCACAUUUGGCACUCAAUAAUGAAGGAAGCUCUAGCCUGAGGAAAACAAAUUGCAACAAUAGAGACGCCCUGACACAGAUGAAUGGGGAGAUGCUGGAUUAGUUUUGAGCCAACAUGCCGUAGGGAGAGGCCAGGUAAAAGCAAUAAGAGGAGAUAACAUGGUCCCAUUAUUUGAACUUUCCUAGAAGCCAGUGGCAGUUUCAAGAGACUUCUGGGAGUUACCAUUAGCUCUAGGAUCUACAAAUCUGGUUUGACUUAGUAGCUCUGCUACAUUUCAAUUUGAGUUGCACUGAAAUUGAGAUAAAGAGUAAAUUAAUCAUUCAAAAAAUAUUUAUUGAGCACCUAUUAUGUACAAGGAAUACUGCUAGACGUUGUGGAUAUAGGUGUAUAAAAUUCAGUUCCUGCCCUCAUGAAGCUAGCAUUCUACUUAAGGAGGCUGAUGUGAAACCUAAUGAUAUAAUUUGGCAGUUAGUUGGAGUUGUAUUAAGUGCAGCAAAGGAAAAUUGCAGGGUACUAAGAAAGCGCAUGAGAGAGGGAUAUGACCUAAUAUAGAAGGUCGGGAAAAGCUUCUUACAAAAAAAAAAGUCAUUUAAGCGGAUUCCGUAAGGAUGAGUAGGAAGAAGUGGACAUUUCUAAUGAGCACCUUUACCAUGUGGUACACUAGAGCUAAUCCUCAGAUCAAUUUUCUUCCUGCUAAUUGUCUUGAUUCCUUUUCUUGAUGUUGUUCAUGUAGACAACAUUUUGAGGUCUUUGCGACAAUCUGCCCAUUCAAGGCUGAAUUCAGACAAAAGAAAACAUUGGCAUGGAGCAAGAAAUCAUUUCCAUAGAUGUCAACAACUUCACGAGGCACACACAAGUGUACUGUGAUCUCAUCCAUUACUUUUCUGUGUGCUCUUGGUCAUUAGCAUGAAUGCCCAUUUGACAUACCCCAUCAGUACACUCUAGGCCAGCAGCUUUCCAAUUCUAAAAUGUCAACAAAGUAGACUUUCUAUAUGGCUCUGUCCAGAAACUUUGAGUGAAAGAAAAGGAGUUAGGAAAAAGAAAAUGAAUCAAGGAACUGAAAACCGCAGCGAAAGCCUGGUCUUGUAAGGACACUUUAACCACCCCACCUCACCCUUCUUUUAAUGUGAAGCCCGUACUUUGCAAGUUUGCAAAAAGACAUUCCCAAGCUCUUCAUGCUAUUUUAUGCAUCACCUUCUCUUCAGCACAUUAAGUUCUUGUUCCUAAAAACUCACUCCUGGCAUCUUCCCCUAUUACCCUACUAUCCCAAUCUGAUUUAGAUGCUCCUUCUUCGUGCUCUCAUAGCACUCUACACUUUUAUACCUUAUCACAGCUGUAUUAUAAUAAUUGAUUUACUUAUCUGACUCAUCUACUUCUUGAGGGAGGAAGUUCCUUAAGGGCAAGGCUCAUGUUUUAAUCAUUUUUGUAUCCCUAGUGCCUAUCAGAGUACUUAAAAAAGAAUCCACUGAAUGAAUUAAUGUUCAUGCAUGAUAGUUACUGUCCCUGUCUUCGCCUCUGGAGAGACAUGGAGACUUAGAUUCUGCAAAUCUAGUAAACAAGGCUGGCUUUGGAUGUAGGAAACUUUUGACCCAUGGCAGUCUGAAAUUCUUCUCCAUUUCUAGAUAAACCUAUUGUAAUUACCUUAACUGGGCUAUUGCUUUAUGGGCUUUCUUUGAAAACGUUUUAAGAACUAAAUAGAUCAGUAUAUAUGGUCCACUAACCAGUAUGUCAGUCAAGAGCAAGAUUGGUUUCGAUGUUUGGCAUUGAAUAAGAUACUAUUAUGUGCAUAAGUCUGAUCUUUUAGUCAAUGUGUUUUAAAUAAUUUCCACAUUUCGUGUUAAAAAUAGUGUAAUUUCCAAGCUAGAAGCAAAGGAAGAAUAAACUAUGCCUAGCAGGACAUUUGUCAAGUAUUAAGUACUUAAAUGUUUGUUUAAUGAGAAAAGGAAAGGAUACAUUACUAAAGGAAUAAUUGGAUGCAUGUAUAAAUAUAGUGCAAUCUGCAGGAAUCAUCAAGCCGUAAGUUAGAAUAAGUUACUUACCGUUGGCAAAAUGACAAAGCCAUCAAACACAAAAAAUAAAAGCUAAUGGGAGAUCACAUUUUCCAAACAAGUAGGACCCUAAUAUCAUUUAAAUAAUGAAAAAGAAGAGUGUGUUCAAAAAUAAAAUACCCGGAGGAGGCAAAAGAUUGAUAUAUGAGGAGAGAGUAUUGAAAACUCUAGAGAAAUCUCCAUACCACCCACUCUUCCUCCUUACACCCCCUCCCCCCAGUCACCGUCCUCACAUACACACAAGUCAUGAUUGUCUUGUCUACUUGCUUUUCCUGAAAUAAACUUGAUUUGAAAAAGAGGAAGUUAGAGAUGCUAGUAGGGUAAGAGAAAGAGCCCUCCAACAGAGAUUCCCCUGCUUCCUCCUCUACCUAUUAUUCUUCACGAUAGGCGUAAUUGCUGCCUCUUCCAUGAAAACCUUUCCUGAGCCACUGUCACCUACAGCUAAUUGCCCCCUUCCCCUGCACGCUUACUACAGCUUACCCUCUCCCCUCUUUGCACUUCUUUCACUGUCCUUCAUUAUAGUUGUCUACAUCUGUCCAUCCUCCAGAAUAGGAGCUUUGAAAGAGGUGUUGUGUCUCCUUUAUCUUUAUAUCCCAUUCUUCCUCUCUUCCUUUUCCAUUCCUAACCCAGAGCCUGGCAAAAAACAGAAACUCUGAAAGUGUUUGUUGGAUAGAAGGAAGGAAAGAAGAAAAAGAAGGCAGUUUAUUUCUGAAGAAAAGACCAUUUGCCUUCUUUCUUCAAAAUAUUUUCUCUUUCUAAAAUCAGGGGGCAGCCUUUUUUUCCCUCCAUGUGUUAGGGUGUGUGUCCUUGAACACCUUACUUUGGCAAAGAGCCAAAUCCCGUGUCCAGCCAGCUGAGUCAUUUUCAGUUUCUUUGUGGUCCAUUCAUGCUUUUCCCCUUCAUUGACACACUAACAUUUCAUGGUGAGUGGGUCCUGUUCAGCUGGCAGCCCCUCUCAGCCCCCACACCUCUAAGCUGUCCUCACUUCACUAGUUCCCAAUUGCCUGCCUCUUGAGGAGCCCUCUGUCCUCGUCAUUGUCUGGCUAUCGGAGGAGCUGUUGGUUUGCUGUUGCCACACCUCAGUUUUCAUAAUUAACAACACGAAACAAACUCAGAGAAUGAGAGACCUCUCCUAGAGGCUAUCUCCUCUUAUAUGUUCUUUUGGAAAGCACCCAGUUUGUUUUAAGAAAAUGAGAGAAAUACGGAUAAUGAAAGAACUCGACAGAUGUAAUAUCUGCUUAAUCUAGUAUCUUGUUAAAAUCUCUUAUUUUUUAUUUUUCUCAAAUACCUAUAUGUCUUACCUCGCUGCCCUCUGCAAUAGCGACUCCCAGUGAGUUUCUAGUUCAAUCUUAUUUUAUAGGUCAUCAAUUUGCACCUUAACCUCAAAAAUAGCAAUAAUCCAUGAGCAAAUUUAGUAAUUAAAAAUCCAGCACUCUAAAGCAUGGCAUCCAGUGUUUCUCUUUACUGACUUCCAAACAGAAAUCUCACACACACACACACACACACACACACGCAUUUGUUACAAGGUUAGCAUUUCAGGAUUUACUUUUGUGCCUUUGGCCCUUAGUAGGUACUCAAUAACUUCCUGCUGGCACACUGAUUAGUUUUAGUAGCUCCUUGUUAUUUCCAAAAGGAUGGCAUUUUCCAGAAUUUUCUGAUCAACAAAUGAAAUAUGUGUUUUCUUAAAGCCAUGGAAAUAGAAUAAUUCAUAUUGCGAGGUUAUUUAUUACCAGCCAGACCCUCUUCUUGCUCUACGGGGCUCUGAUAAUCACCUAUUUCAGAAGCCGUUAGCUUUCUGUGUGUUGUAAGCUCUCUUCACCGUAAUGUGUCUAUGCCUUUGUGUUUGGGGCAGGAAUGACGUGCGCUGAAGGAACAGACCUCUGUUGACCAAGUAAGAAAGACUUUGAUGCGCAAAUAGUACAUUAAACUGCUUGUAUUUGAUAAGUGUUGAAAUUAAACAGCGUGGGGAAUCCCUUGCUCGAGUAUGGGAACACAUAAAACUUUUGAGAAUGUGAAUAUUAAUUCAAAUGCUUAAUAUUACUGAAACACAGAGGUAUAAGAAAAAUACACAUCGAAAUAAUGUAGCCAUCAAAGCUCAGGCACUUACAGGAGGACAGCAGAAGCUGGGUUUAGCUUAUUGAUUUUAAAACCACUGUUUAAAAAAAUAGAGGCAAAAUAUUGCUUUUACUGUUUUCCGAUAAUAAUGACUGUUGUUGCAAAUUAUAAAAUUUAAUUAGCUAUAUAAAUGCCAGAGGAACAAAUAGUGUGCUAUUGUCUUGAUAUCUUUCCAGAAAUUAGUCUUUUAAAAUAAAUUUGCCAUAUUAAUCAUCUAAAAAUAUUUUUGAUCACUGAAUUAAUAGUUUGCAGCCUGUUUUCAGGUGCUCAUUGCCAUAGGUGAUUGCUUCUUAAUUACUACAUGGGCUUUUUCUAUUCACUCAUAUUAAUUCAUGUUUUCUGGCACAGUCCCAAAAGGCAGCCUUGCCCUAUAUCUUCUAAUUACUUCUAUAAUUGAAUUUGCCCACUUUUUCUAACCUAUUUUUUAAACUGACUGUGUUUGUUCAUGGUUUAUUGUGUCUUUUUUGUGUCAGUUCUCUGCAAGCAGAAUGUACAUUGAUUCUUUCCUCGUUUCUCAUUAAUUUUCAAGAGCUUUGCUGCAUGUCUGUUUUUUCAGUCUGUCAGACCUAUUGCUAGACCAAAAAAAAAAAAAAGACUCUUAUUAUUAAAGGUUAGGUAAAAUAGACUGAAGUUAAUUAAUUCAUUAGUAACCCUGAGCCAAUUACUGAAGGCUUCUCUUAUUUAUAUACUUGUUAACAAGACAGAAAUGAGCAAGGCCAAUUAUAGGCACAUGUCCUUCAGAAGUUCAGUAAACCCAGAGCUUAUGCAUUUGACACUCCUCCAAAAAGAAUUUCAGUUUAUAUAUCAGAGGUGCAAAAUUGCAUUAAAAAAUUGUUGGCUAACAGUCUAUUCCAUUCUAUCUAUUAAUCAAUUUUAAAGGUUUUUCCCCCCAUCCAGAUAUCUUUAAUAUGUCUAAUAUUACUAAAUUCUUCUAAAAUUAUCUCAAAGAGUAUUGCUUAGCCUUAGAGGAAUUACAAAAAUAGAAGAAAUUUGACUUAUUUUCUGGGUUUCAUUAUUCUCUUCUUUCCAAGCUAUUAAGCUUUUAGUUCUUGAAGUGGGAUAAUUAAUUAGCAGAUCUCAUAUGCUAGAACCCUUUAAAAUAUGUUCUACUUAAUUUUUAUUGAAUAUGCCAAAACUUUACAACAUGUGGAAAGGCAGUUUUUUCCAGAUUUUUCCUGAUAAACAAUAUAAAAAAUUGUAACUCUUCAUCCAUGCAAACUACCUGCACAGCACAUACUGUAUCUUUUACUUCCCCUUCCUGCCCCUGAAAUAUUUUGUUAAUGUAGCAGGGGUUAGGAGGGAAAGGAGAGGGGGAUUGAUUCGUUUUCUGUACGUCUAUAUUUUCUUCAUACACUUGUGCCGGCAUGGGACCAAGAAAUCAACAGAGUCAACUGACGCUAAUGUCUCAAUAAAUUGACUGAUUGUUUGACUGAAUUAAAACUAACUUGUUAUGUUUUUUCUUUUUUUUUCCUACUUUUUAAAUAUCAUGUGAGAUAUGAGUUUCCAUAGUUAAGAGAUACCAAAAUGAUGUCAGGGUUACUGCUGCCUAACUUUUUAGUUUUUCCACAGUCCCAAAUGUAUUAAAAUUUAAUCAGUUAUUUUAUAGCAUAAUAAUGACAAUCACAGCAUGGUAAAAUGAGAAAGAAUCUCAGCAGACAAUAAAUCCAGGUCUUGAUUCUUGGAAAACUAAAGGAAAAAGUUUAAAAAUGUGUAAUGUACCUUAUGCAGGAAUGCUUUUUGUAAUACUGCCUACAUCCGAAGUUACGCUCUCUGGCUUCCAAAUUUCCAUACCCUCUUGUUUAUAACUAUUUUAUAGAACUUCGCACUUUCUAACCUGUAUUAUCAUAACUUGUAUCUUUUUCUCUGCUGAAUUAUUAUCUAAUUGAGGAAGUAACUGUUUUUUGUGCACUGUGUAGCCCCAGCAAUGCCUGGCAAAUAGUGGGCUCUUAACAAAUACAGUCAGAAGAAUUAGGAAUGAGGAGUGCAUAAUCUCUUUUUACGGUGUUCAGUGUCCGUCCUCCCUCACUGUGUAGGCUAACUAAGGAAUCUCUUGCUUGAAAUCAGUUAAUGUAUCUUAAUUUUCUGUGGUAAAUGCAAUAAAUUGGUAACAAAUGUCCCAUUAUUAAUUCAUUAUGUAGGCUUCUCUGCUCCAAGAUUAAAAAUCUAUACUAAUUUUUCCUCAGAUGACCUGUUUUUCAUUCCUUUAAUUACUGUAUGACUUUUUUUUAUGGCUUUGUUGACCCAGAGUCUGUUACUUUGGGCCAAGACCACACAGGCCCUUUUUACUCUUCCCAGGACCAUGUGCAGUGCGGUUUUUGUAUUUUCAGAAACACCUGUGUGAAGCAGAAAUUAGAUUUCCUAGACUCCUGGUCUCCUCAGGGCUUUUACCCAUCCGUUUUUCAUGUCGUUGCUUCAGUGAAGCUGGUUUUCCUUCAGCUAACUUUUGUGUAUUAUCCAUGCCUUUCUUUCUUUUUACCCUUUCUCUCUCUUCCUUCCUUCCUUUUUUCUUUUUCCUAGUUUUUUGAAAUAAAGUAUUUUAUAGUUAUGUCUCCUAAUAAUCGCACUUGAUAUGUUUAUAAUGAUUUCUCAGUGUACAAGCUCCCUUCACAGAUAAGCAUCUCAUUUGAUUCUUACAGGCUAAGUAUUAUGUAGAUGAGGAAACUAAAAUUCAGAGAGGGUAAGUGACUCGCCCAAGGCCGCACAGCUAGUUACAAUUUCAGUUUCCAAAUUUUCGACUUGUUUGCCUCUCUGUGAGAGCAAAAUCCAGAAGGUCCCCUUUUCUUAGUUGAUUCUCACCGUUUGUGUGAGGAAACUACCUAACAUACUUCCUAAACAGCUGGAUUUGUAGCCAACUGUUUUCCAGUAAUUGCCUAAUUAUAAGGAAGAAAAUGUGGCCUAGUACUUUAACGUGCAUAUAUCAUCC